rnacentral:tRNA from 1 species
CCGGCGGCGCCGCGCCGGGCUAGCGCAGCGGUUUUGUCAACCGAACGUCGGGGGUUCGAUCCCCUCGUCCGGA